GUGAGAUUAGCUAAUCUCACCCCUAUUUAAAUUUUAAAUAUUUUAAAUUUCGAAUGUUAAAAUUAAUAUUUAUAAUUUUAAAUUUUAAUUUUUAAUUUUAAAAUUACUAUUUUUAAUUUUUUAAAUUUAAAAUUUGAUAUUUGAUAUUUUAAAUUUAGAUUUGAUUUUAAAUUUAAAAUUUAUAACUUUAAAUUUUUAAAUUUGAGAUUUAAAAAUUUUAGUUUUAAUUUUGAAUUUUUUCAUUUUAAUAAUUAUAUAUUUAAAUUUAAAAUUUAAAAUUUAAAAUUCAAAUAUAAUAUAAGGGGCAAUAUUAUUAUUUGGGAAAACUUCAAAAACCCCAUCUAUGGUUUCGUAGUUUCUCACUUUGCCCCCCUGUGGUUUAAAAUAUAUCAAUUUGCCCCCCUGUGGUUUCUUUUUUCUCUUUUUCAUAUCAAUUUCAUUAUUUUUUUUCCUUAAAUCAAUGAUAAAGUUAAAAUUAAAGGGUACUAAAGUGAAUAUUUGAUAAAUCUAGAUGGGUAUCUGAAGUUUUUUGUAUAUAAUUUAAUGAAAUAUUAACGAAAAAGCUAUCGAAAAGAUAAAAACAAAACCACAGGGGGGCAAUUUGAUACAUUUUAAACCACAGGGGGGCAAAGCGAGAAACUAUGAAACCACAGGAGGGGUUUUUGAAGUUUUCCCUUAUUAUUUUCUAUUCAUAACCCCCACUAUUCUUCUUAUUCCAUUUUAUCUAUCCAAAUCCUAUUUUCUUAUUCUGAAGAAUAAGUCAUUUUUCAUCCAAACGCAAAAUUGAUCUAUUACAUGCUUAUACCUGAACUUAUAUCUAUUCCUGAACUAGGUAAUUCUUAUUAAUGCUCGAACCAAAUGAAGCCUUAGAGAAUUUUGUUAUAAUUAGAUGUGGACAGAAGGACACUGACAAAAUUGACCUUAAAAUGAAUAGAAUGAUU
rnacentral:lncRNA from 1 species